rnacentral:lncRNA from 1 species
AAGUAUCAUGUGUAUAUUACUUCCCUUGCUCAAAUGAUACACCUUUUGAAGGCCUGGAGAUCAAAGGCGGUGAACAGAUAAGAGUAGAGGAUGGCACUGGCGAAGGUAUAGUAAAGAAGAUAGGAGUACAUCUGUUAUAUUUAGACCAACAUGGCAAUGUUACUUCUUUCCCGGCAAAAAAGGUAGUGGAAGAAAAGAAGACAAAAAGAAAAAGAAAAAGAAAAAGAAAAAGAAAAAUGAUGUUUGGUGGCAAUCGUGGACGACUAUUGGUGUUCCCCAUUUCCAGAAAAGCUUCAGCAAGGCAUAAAAGAGCAAAGUUCUGAUAGUUUUCCUUUGGAUAAAGCUUGGGAAUGAGUGAUGACUGAAUCGACUUUUUUCCAUUUGUAUACUGCUAGUUUCUUGAACUGCACUAAACCUUAGUUAAAAGAAUUGAAUAUGUAUAGUGAAUAUAGUUAUCAAAUUUUGUUUGAUUUAUGUAAUCAACUUUUUCCAUUUGUAUACUGCUAGUUUCUUGAACUGCACUAAACCUUAGUUAAAAGAAUUGAAUAUGUAUAGUGAAUAUAGUUAUCAAAUUUUGUUUGAUUUAUGUAAUCAACUUUUUCCAUUUGUAUACUGCUAGUUUCUUGAACUGCACUAAACCUUAGUUAAAAGAAUUGAAUAUGUAUAGUGAAUAUAGUUAUCAAAUUUUGUUUGAUUUAUGUAAUCAACUUUUUCCAUUUGUAUACUGCUAGUUUCUUGAACUGCACUAAACCUUAGUUAAAAGAAUUGAAUAUGUAUAGUGAAUAUAGUUAUCAAAUUUUGUUUGAUUUAUGUAAUCAACUUUUUCCAUUUGUAUACUGCUAGUUUCUUACUCAUGGUCUUUUGAGAUUCGCUUUGCUAGCUUUCACAUUACACCUAAUUAUUUUCUGUCCUAACAUUAUGAUCAUAAUAUUUAAUUUCUACUCCCUUUUUUCCUGAAAAAAUACUAUAAGAAAAUGAAGUUGGAGCAGAAGAAAUUGUAUAAUAAAUAAUUUGGGACUUACUCUCUUAUAUGUGGUGCUGGGGGAGUGCCUGUUCUCAUUCUGUGAAAUGUGCACAAUUUUUUGCAGACGUUUAAUUAUAUGUGAUAUUUGAUAAAAAAAAGAAAAAUUUGGAAGUUGAAGUUGUGUUUAGAAUUUGGUGGAUAUGUAGAAGUUGCGAGCGGAAACAACUCACUUAAAAAGCUGGUCAAAAUUACGGUAUCAAAAUUAUGUUAUGUUGAGUAUAACAUAAAAUUAUAACGAUUUGUUAUGAUUUGUGUAUCGAAUCUGAAAUUAUACUCACAAAUAUUUCAUAUAGUUUAAUAAUAGAACUACAUCCGUACAAGUAAGGAACUAGUCAAGAUAUGGAUAAAGUUGCUCAGUCUUUCUUGUUCUAGAUUGUCACGUUUCUUGCUCCUUAAAAGUAAAGGAAGAUUAUCGAUAAGAGUUAUAGUGGAGUGGUAGGUACUUAUUUAUUUUUAAUCAGAGAUUUUGAGUUUGUGUUUUUUGGGUAUGACUGGAGUGUCUUUGUUGGGAGCGUUUUACCCCUAAAUGUGGGACUUUUCGACACAAAUUUAAAUUUAAUCGAACUCUAAUGUAAAUACCUAACACAGGAUGGAAAAUCCAAAAAGAAAAAAUGAAAAGAAAAAAAGUAAAGGAAUAUUGUUAUUACUCCUCAAAGUUCAAAAUUGUAAUACUCCAUCUUAAUCCCUUUAAAAUUUUACAAGCAGACUUUGAGAAAAUUGGUGUCUAACUGUGUAUGCAAUUUUACUUCUAUUUUUAUAUAAGUAGAGAAGUUAUUUCAAUAGAUAUUUGCUUCCAUUUAAGCAUAUUAAAAUCGAAUAUAAUAAUAACGCAAUUAUACUGAAUAUAAUGGAGAAGAGUAUUGUAACGAUUAAAAUGCAAAUGUAUUUUUCCCAAUUUAGGUUUUGUGCAUAGAAAAUAAGGGUCCUUCUCUUUGGUCAGCUAUUUCAGUCCAUUAGUGGAAAUUCCACUAAAAGUUAACAAAUAUUUAUCAACAACUAAGGAGUAGUAUCUAUCUUUAAUUUCUAGGACAUGACGUUAUUUAAUUAAAAUUCAUUUUCACUUAAUUUUUUUAAGUUAAACAAUUCUUCAUUUUUUGGCAAAGUUUGUCAAUAAAUUAAUUCUAGGAUAUCUUCGAAUUCUUUGACUAAUACUCUAGUCAACAAACUUAAAAACAAAUAUCCAAUUUUCAUUCAAGCUACUUUUGUUAACAAUCUUAAGACUAUAUAUUCAAAGCAAUUUUGAUGUAUGGCACAAAGUGAAUCCACAUAGAGGUUAAAUAAAUACCUAUUACAUAAACGUGCUUUGUAAUUUGACAUUAGUUGAUAUUUAAGGCCUACUAACUUUGGACGUAUAUAAAUAAAUACUUAAAUUUAUAUAAAAUUGAAUAAGGGAAAAUUAGCAAUCUAGUCAAAAAUCCUAACAUAAUUAUUAAAAACAUCUAUAGUUUAUAAAUAUUAGUAAAAAUGUCAAAAUGUCAAUAUUUUAGAAAACAUUGUGUAUCCUAAUUUAGUUCCUAUUUUACCUCACCUUAAUUAAAGUUUUCCAACACAUUCUCUCUCAUAUGUUUUUAAAAAAAAAAAUAUUUUCUCUUUUCCUAUUCUUCUUCAUAUUUCAACUCCCGCUUCUCUCUCUUCCGUUCUUUCGAAUUUUUUUUCCAGAAAUUGAAAAAUAUAUCUCUAAAGAUAUUCACAACAAUUCCUUAGAUUAAGGUAUGCAUCUUUAUCCAACUUUUAGGUUUGUUUACUAAUUUUAUUUUUGUUUAAAUCUUUCAAAAUUUUUGUUUGACCAAUUUCAUUUAGGGUUUGAAAACCUCAAAAUCACUCUCUAAUUGCCGUAGCUAAGAGGAUUACAAGAGGUAUCCAACUAAAUCAACAAUUUUCUAGCGACUUUUCAUCCUUUAUUGAUUAUAUUACCAUUACAAUAUUUACAUGUUCAGUUGAAGUUGUUAAAAUCAUAAAAAUCAUGAUUUUCUAUUAGUCUCAAGUAUCUAUAACAAUUUUCUUUUGUAUUCAAAAUUCAUUAAGUAUGUGUAUUGAUAUAAAAUAAUAUUGCCAUUGUCUAUGGAUAUUGUGGGUUUGUUAGUAUAGAUAUUGUAUUCCUUAUUUUUCUUGUAUUUGUGGACAUUCUGUUAGUUUUGAUAAUAUACCCACAUACUUGGACUCAUCAUAUCUUUGUAUCCUUUUCUAGUUGUGGACAUUGUAAUAGUGUUAAUUGUAUCCAAUCAAUUAAAGAUACAUAUUUACUUUAUAUAGUUGUAUUCAUUUUUUAAGAAAUAGUGAUGCUAUUUCAGAUUGUAUUCAUGUUUUAUUAUUUGAUGGUUUUGUAUUCAUUAUGUUAUAUCUGUUGUAUGUAUUUUGUGUGCAGUAUAGUUUGUUUUGUGAUAAAACAUGUUUCGGUCAUUAUAUGAGAAUCAAGUAUUCGUUAACUGUUGAAUCAUUAAUUUGUUUGGAAGUUUGGACAUGAAAGUUUUUUAAAUUUUCCGGGUAAUUAUAAUUUUUUGGAUGACGAGACAACAUGAAAGUUUUUAAAAUUUCUCGGGUAAUUAUAAUUUUUUUGAAUGAUGAGACAGAGUUUUACUAAUGCACAAGUGAAUACGGAUUCAGAUUUGGAUUUGGUGAACAAAAAAUCAGAAAAAAGGAACAAGAAGAAGAAAGAGAGAAUGAGAGAAGAAUGUUGCAAAAAUUGUAUUCUAUAUUAAUUUUUGUUUGUCUAAUUGUUUUUUUUUACUCAACAUUUGUAUUUUUAUUAAGAACAUUGUAUUUCUUUUUUAGUUUGUAGUCAUUUCAAUAGGAAUGCCAAAUGGAUUUGUAUUUCUUAAGCAUUGAUGUAUCCUAUUUCUUUCACAGUCAAUUUGUAUUUUUUUUAGAAUAUUGUAUUCUUCCUCAAAAGAUUGUAUUAUUUCAACUAUGUAUGCUAUUUUAUUCCAGAAUCUUGUAUUCUUUCUUAAAUUGUAUUCAUAUGUAAUAAUUAGAUUAUAUUGAGAUGCAAUCAAUAAUAUUUUUAUAAUACAAAUAAAAGAAAAAAUAUUUGACAGUCAUGUAAUACAAUUUUGAUCACUGGAUACAAUUUUUAGUUUUCACUAUUACAUAACUCAAUGGAGGAUCAUCAAUGGAGAAUUGAAAGUCGUUAAUGGAUGAUGAGGAAGAUGAGAGAAUUUGUGCCUAUUUUAGUCUCCUAAUCUGUAAAGUAAGUAAUAAUAGAUUUUCAGCAUUAUUUACUUAAUUUGAAAGAUUCUCUCCCAUGAUUUUCUCUAAUUUGUUAUUUGCUUAGUUGUAUUUUAUUGAGUUAAAUAAAUAAAAAAAAAAAUACAUAAAUCAACAAUAUAACAAAAUAAAAUAUUGACAUUUUAAAUAAAUAUUGAAAGUGUGGCUAAUGGGUUCUCUUAAAUGCUAAAAUAUUGACAUUUUGAAAAUUUUCCCAUUGAAUAAAUAGAUACAUACUGUAAGCGUCUAAAGUUUCAAUCCUGAAAUACAGUAAACAGGAAAAGAAAAAUAGCAAGCAAACAAUAAUAUUUGUAUUUGAAUUAAUGUGAAGGUUACAAUCUUUAUAAAAUCUCUUAAAAAGAUAUGUAAUCCCUUGAUUCUUCUCUCCACAGAUGUUCUUGAUUUGGCGGAAUACUUGCGGCUCAAUACUUGGAGCGAAGACUUCUUUGUAUGCGGAAGACUUGCAGAUCACCAAUGAAGAGCAACUAUGUAUUUCUGUGUGUAUGUAUGUGUGUAUCCCUUCGAACAAAUGACAUAAGUGGUCCCUAAACUAUCCUAGUAGGUUUAAAAUAGUCCUUUAACUAUACAGUUGACGGAUAUGAUCCUUUAACUAUCCACCUUUUGUCAAGUUUGGUUUCCAUCCAAUUGCGGCACCAGAACACCCAAAAAAAUCCAGCAAAAAACUGCAUAAUCAGCACCAAACUAUACAUAACACAUCACUAGACAACAACAUCAAACUGCUGCAUCAGACUACCAAAAAUCAGCACCAAACUGCACAAAACACAGCUCCAAAAAUGUUACCAAACAUAUUUCAUGAAAUAGGCUCCAUAAAUUAAUAACAUUCAUCCUCAAAUGAACACGGUAAGAUGCAGAUUAUCGGGCACAAUCACUAAAUUAACAAUUCCAUUUUUAUUAGCAACUAAUCCAUUUAUAGUAUCAUCAUGUCCCUUAAUUGACUCCAAACACUUCUAAUUAGUAAAUAUGUAUUGAGCAAGUUAAGCUUAACAAUAUUAACUUUGCUCAAUCACUUGAAUAAAACGCAAGAAAUUUAAAUUCUCAUUACGCGAGUCUAUUCUCCUUCAGGGCAUUUUUUUUUACUCCCCAUGUAGUUUUCGAGAAAACCUUACUAUAAUUUGAUUUCUAUGAGAUUUCCAUAACUCGACUUCUUUAAAAAAAAAUCAUAAUUUGAUUCUUAUGAAAAUUUGCCAUAAUUUUGUUUCUAUGGAAUUUCCAUAAUUUGAUUCCCAUGGAAAAUUUCCAUAAUUUAAUUCCUAUGAAAACUUACCAUAAUUUCCAUAAUUUGUAGGAACUAAACUUUCCAUAAUUUGUAGGAAUCAAAUUGAUGUCUUCAUAUUUUGAAAUCUAUAUGUACCCACAUUCACCCGGUGAUUGUAUAUCGCAUUGCCGCAUCAUCGAGUUCAAUUGAGACCUUCUCUCUCAAGAAAAUUCUUUUCCAACUCUGAUUUUCGUCACCCUUGUUUUUCAGCUCAGCGCGACUUUGGUAGAAAAUUCAUAUCUCAUUGUAGGGAUAUUGAAAUUGUGAUCCGUUUGAUUUUCCAGAAAAUAGACUCAUAGAGCUACAACAUAUCCGAAAAUCACGAUCAGACAACUCUCGAAUUUACUCAGGUGAUUUUUUUGAAUUCAGCCUAAAAUUCUGAUAAACUGAACGCAUCAGCUUUGUGCAACUUCGCGGAAAAAUUCAUAUCUCGACGUAGGAAUAACGAAAUCACAAACGGUUUGCGGUGUUAGAAAGUAAAUUCAUAGGGCUACAUCAUAUACGAAAACCACAAUUAGAUUGCAUCUGUGUUGAUUCAGUUUUCUAUUUGAAAUCAGCCUUUCACCAACCGUAAUUUUUUUUUGAGGUUACCACCUUUACUUUGGACAUGUUCAUACAAAUCUGAACUUAUUCUUUUGUUUAAUUUUUUUUUUCAGAUUUUUGAUAGAGAAAUACGACUUUGAUCCCGCAACAUGAUGCACUUCCGCGACCGAGAUUCGCCGCAUCCUCUUCUUGAAAUAGUGGGCGACGACCAACAAAAUCCAAAUGUCAAAGUUCUACUUUUGGAGGUUCAACCUCCUGCUAUCAGCGUCUUUCUCCCUUGUUAUUGGGGCAUAUGAUGAAUCUCUUCUCCUUAAGGAAUGGUCAAAAAUGGAUACCAAAGACGUUAUGAGAAACUUCUCGAGCAAGGCUACUAGCAUGAGGUUCCUUUACUGAAAUCCGCGGUUCAUCAUGACGCAACAUCUUCCAAAUCUUCUCAUUCUGAUGGAAGUUUCAACAAUUGGCGUGUUCCCUCUUCUAACUUUGGCAAUGCUUGCUACACACCUAGCUACUGGGAAUGGGUAGAGGACAGCUGCCCCGCCACAAGGAGAUUUUGGAGCUCAUCAAGGUCUAUGACGCUGUAUAUACUUCUUUGUUCACGUACGACUAUGACGACAAUGUACUCCAUGCUUUUUGUGAACUUUGGCGCCCAUCUACCAAUACGCUUUCUACUUUCGUUGGAGAGAUGUCCAUAUCACUUUGGGACUUACAAGCCAUUGGAGGUAUCCCCGUACAAGGGCACUUUUAUGACGAAGUCGUUCCCUCGGCGAAAGAAUUGACACAGACGGAUACUCAAAAAGAAUUGCUUCUUCCCCAAAGUUGUCGAUAUUUGUUUUCGGCCUUCUACAUAUUAGCGAAAGAUGAUCUCCAGGAGGUGUCCGUCCAUGAUUGGGUGAAGUUUUGGUUUAGAGGACCUAAUAACUAUGCCGAGCCUCCGCAAAAGGUGUCAAAGGUAUGAGCCACAAAGCCAAGAUUAAACCACAAUCCUUCUGGACAUAUUGAUUCNNNNNNNNNNNNNNNNNNNNNNNNNNNNNNNNNNNNNNNNNNNNNNNNNNNNNNNNNNNNNNNNNNNNNNNNNNNNNNNACUGACGAGGAGAAUGCCCCCUUUGUCGAGUUAGAUGUGGAAGAAUCACUUAGAGAUGAGACUAACUUGGCAGCCUUCUUUGCUUGUUGGCUUUGCAAAUUUGUGCUUCUGAAUAAGAAAGUCAACUAUGUGCGCGCUAGUGUUUUUAAAGUUGGGAGCUUGAUGGCUCAUGGAAAGAAAUUCUCCUUAGCGGUCCCAGUUCUUGCAAGCAUAUAUCGCGGCCUGAAAGAAAUCUCUACUUCUUUAAACUCGAGUGUGGCAAUUAUAAUUUUCCCCAUACACUAUGUAUAUGGUUGGCUUGGGGAAUACUUUGGGACUCAUCAUCGUGCCAAUCGUUCACAUCGAUCGAUACCUCUUUGCAAAAUUUCUGGCGAGAAGAUGGCCAAGUGUUUUAAUUUUACUGACGCCCAAAAGUUAUUUCAACAGGAUGAUGCCCGUCGUCUCCAUCAUUUAGCAAUGCUGCAAGGGAGGGAUUUGCACCUUACUGAUAAUGGCAAGCUUUCAAAUUCGUGGAAUGAAUAUAUCAUAAACCUUCGUUCAAGCUAUGUAACCCUUAGGCAUGAUUCAAAUUUCAUCGUGGAGUCCUACAGCCCUACCAGCUUUAGUCGACAAUUCGAUUUUUGUCAAGAUGUUCCCGGAGAUCUUAUGGAGCGUCCUUACGAUGGUACAUUAUUAACAUUGGUGCAACUUUGGAUUCCUCUUUUCGACUUAAUACUUUUUCUAAAGUCAUGAUUCCAACGUGCCCAUUAGAGGGUGCUCCUUUAAUGACCCGCGAGUAUGUAGACUGGUGGCCAUCCCAAAGGCUGAAUACUUCCCAAGGAAACCUCCGCAUCAUUUUGAAGAAGACGAAGCAAGACUCUACAUCCAUUUCAUCUAAAGGGGCUUCUGAUCAAUCAAAGGAAAAGUCACAUCCUUCUUCCAAAUCUCAAGUGAAGUCAAAUGAUACUCUGCAAGUCGCUAAGACCUCAUCCAAGUCUAAAACCUCAAAAGAUAAGGAUGUGCCUGCGAAAUCAAAAUUGAGGCGCCUUACAGUAGCCUCAAAGGCGGCUUCACCUGCUCCUAAAGUUGGCCAUGGUUCUUUUGGAACAAAUGAACUUCAUGUAUCAUCAGACAAUGGUAAUGACCAAACGUCAAACCUUGAGAUGCCUUGUGAUGAAAUUUCUCAUUUGUAUGUUUUACCAGAUGGUGUUGGACGACCCAAUGCAUCUCCCAGUCCAACGGAUCGUCAUUGGAAUCGUCCAAAAAGAAAGGCACAAGAGCUAGAUGAUGUUUGUUGUGGUAUUGAUAUUUUAGAUAUAAUUGUCAUUGAUGAUAACGACUUUGUUGAUGAGGAUUCGAACUCGGCCUCGUUAUUUGAAUUGGCAAAACAAGUAAGGCCCCCAUCUCUUUUUUUUUCAAAGUUUUGAAUCUGAUCAUCUUUUUGUUCUUACUUUUUUUUUUAGUUGGACCUUCAAGAACUAUAUGGUGGCGACCUUAACAAUGGCGCGGUUGCAGAUUUCACAGUAGAUCUUAAUGAUCUUGAUGCGGCUGCAAAAGACUUUCAUUCUUCCAUUAAUGAUGAUCAGCUUCAUUGGAAGUAGUUCCACCAAGAAAGUCACAUUCUAAUGAUGUGAUGCCUUUAUUGGAAGUAGUUCCGCCAAGAAAGUCACCAAGUAGGCCAUUUGCGACCUGGUGCUCCUACUUUAGAGCCACAAGAAACCAUUUACCGCGCCAAAUCAACCUUUGUUUCUGAGAUGUGGGGCGCAUUGUGUGGAUGGAUUACACAAUUUUCCUUAGGUUCUUCAUAUGGCUUUACAGAAUUGGAGUCAAGUAUUGCUUCAACUCUUGAGGAGAUUAGAAAAGUAAAUAUUAUUGAUGUUUCUUCUUUAGAGGAUCAUGUCGAGAAUUUCUUCAAGUCGUACGCAGAGUAUGAUAGUUUAAGAUCAUCAAAGAUGACUAAAGAAUCACACGAAAAGGCCCUCUCUGAUGUACAACGCCGGCUCGAUGGUGCAAAGCUAGCAUAUGAAAAGUUGAAUGGAUCCAUGGAUAAACUUCAAGCAACUCUAGCAGAUGUGGAGAAAGACUUAAAAGCCUUGACUUCCAAGAAAAAGAAGGUCAGAAGAAUCAAAAUGGGUUACAACAAGUAUAGUACAAAACCGAAAUCUUGACGUCUUGAUUCAUUCCUUCAACUUGAGGUGAAAGAAUGAAAAAUGUGACGUCGAACACUAAACAUUACCACGGAGUCAUGAUAAGCAAGGACGGACUAACGUAAAUAAAGCAUUUUGAAAAAGAAAAAAAAAUCACCACAAGGCAAUGGAAAUCAACACAAUAAGAGUAGCAAUAGCUUGAUGCCAAACUUCCAAAAUUCAAUAUAUACACAUUUAGUCAUGCUCGGGAACAAAAGGCUAAUAGCUCAAAGAGAACGAGAACUCUAUUUCUUACUGAGAACUAGCGAGAAAACAGAACAAACAAGCAAAUACUACUGUACUAAAAGCAGAAAAUUAAGACUUAAACCAACAAAGGAAGUAUAAAAUCAAUCAGCCAUACCAAACAGCAAACUACAGUCAGAAUAAGAAAAAAAAAAGUAAAAUGAAGAAGUAUACAUUCUUCGGAGCAGCGACUGGACGACAGCGAGCUUGAAAGAGAGCGACUUCUCGCACAACUUUGACUCGAGCAGCAAACCAAGAAAUUCAAAGUAAUUUCAGACGAAACCUUUCUUAGAACUUAGAAUUAGAAAAUCGCUUUAAAAUUUCUUGAAUGUAAAAAUGAGUAUUGUCAAAGAACCAAGCUCUAAAACCUGUCCCAUUCACUUGAGUGUAGAGGGUUAUUUAUAGGGGAAAUAGGGGGUCGAUUUAUGAGGGAAAACGAGUGGGAAAUUGAAUUAGAAAUUCGAAUUCCUUUUUUCCAAAGCCAUCAGUGAAGAGAUUUAGAAAUCCCUGAAAAAAUGGGGAAAUGAGACGUGAGGGCUUGACGUUGAGGCUGCUAGGGUAUGGGUUCUGCAGGGUAGUUGGAUGAGAUUUUUGCAGCGCGAUUUCUGGGUUGCGUGAUUUGGUUCGCUGGCCGAGUUUCUGGGUUUCUGCAUUUGCGCGUGAAAAAGAAGACGUAGGGGUGGGGUAUUGUUGGUAUGUUAUUGCGGCUGUUGGGUUGUAGGCGUAAGGGAAAAGAAGAAGUGAAGUCGGGUCGGUUGAUUGUGGGUGUUGCUGGAAAAGGGGUAUUGAAUUGGAAUUAUUGUUGAGUUGUUGUUUGGAAUGGGCUGGAAUUAUUUGUUGUAUAGGGAAUUAGAAUUGGGCCUUUAGGAAGUGGCCCAAAAAUUGUUUUUUUUUUAAAAAAAAUGGGAUAGGCAAUUGACUAAAACUUGUUAUUAAAUAAUGGAUUUCAAUUAUAGCCUAAUAGAAUUUAAUUGGUGAAUUCGGCUAAAAUUUAAACAAGAUGAGUUAACAUAAAUUAAUUAAUGAACUUCUUAAUCUUAACGAAAUAAAAUAAUUAACUCAAAUAUGAACUAAAUAAUUUAAGAUAUAAACUAUUAUAUAACUAACUAAUUAACCAUAUAUUUAAUUAAAACAAAAUCUUUUUGAGACGAUUUUCGAAUAUUCAUAAAAUAUACUAAUUAUAUACAUAAUUAUGUGAAACAUAUAUAUUAUCUAAAACUUAUAAAAAGUGACAAGACUAUUUAAAACAACUUGCGAACUAUAUUAUUAAUUAUAUUUUUUUGAAAAAUUUCUAAAACUAAUUAUUUUAAAUCGCUUGAAAUUGAAGAAGCUCAAUGAUUAAUUUAUAUUGUGGAGGUCUAAAAUUGGGUGUCAACAAUCGCAAUAGCCGCCGGAGGAAUAGAAUAUAACGAAGAAAAAAAGAGGAAAGGAUUUGGUGGGUGAAUUCAGGAUGAGGUGGGGCUCGACAUUUUCUUUUUUGUUAUCGCCGGAGGAAUCAAUGGUGAAUGGCAAUGGCGGAAUGACAGAAAAGAAGAUGAAGAAGAAAGGGCAAUAGGUUAGAUGGGGUGCGGGGUUAGGUGGAGGUGGGGGGAGAGAUUUUUUUUUUAUCAAUUUAAUUUUUUCUAUAUUAUUAAAGGCUGAAAAUUAUUUUUUAUUUUUCAAAAUUAAAAUUGUGGGCCCAUGUGCUACGUGUCAUAAUUCUAUUCGUGAUUUUGUCAACAUAAUGUGUGUGAAUUACACGCACAAUAUUUUUAAAACUAGUUGUCAUUUUAUGUUCAGUAGAUAAAUAUUCGUUAAUAUUAAAGUGUCUAAAUGAAUUAUGUUGACAACUUUAAAGGACUAUCGAUGACUUAAGCCGUAUAUCCAUUAAUAUCAUGACAAAUAAAAAUGAACGAGACAUUUCUAUGAAAUAUCUUGGAAACAUCCCUUUCAUUUCUGUCAUGCUUCUUUGGGGAUUGUAAAUGACUUGACCCAUUAUUAAUUUUCCAGGAACAAAUAAUACCUGUGGGUAUAUGUAGAAGCUGCUUCACUCAUCUUUCUUUCAUUAUUAAAACAAAAAAAUUAUCUAAAAAUCCCUUAAAAUUAUUGUUAUCAAAUAUGCCUACACAGUUUGUUGUAGGAGAAUUAUCUUCUUCUUCCAACUUGUCUUACGAUGUAUUUCUCAGUUUCAGAGGCGAAGAUACUCGCAAAACCUUCACCGGUCAUCUUUACACCCAAUUGUGUCAAGUCGGAGUUAAUACCUUCAUAGAUGAUGAGGAAUUAAGAAAGGGAGACGUCAUUUCAACCGAACUUGAGAAAGCAAUUGAACAAUCAAGGGUUGCCAUUGUUGUUUUCUCCAAAAAUUACGCUUCCUCUAGUUGGUGUCUUGAUGAACUUGUCAAAAUUCUCGAUUGCAGAGUGAGGUUAAAAGCAGGUAGUUUUGCCUAUUUCUAUGAUGUUGAUCCUUCUCAAGUGCGAAGGCAAACUGGGUCCUUGGUGAAGCUUUGGCAAAACAUAAGGAACGAUUGUUUGGAGCUCAAAGAGUGGAGAAUUGGAAAGUUGCACUGACUGAAGCUGCGAAUUUAUCUGGAUGGGAUUUGCGAAAUGUUGCUGAUGGGUAAGACUUCUUAAUUCAACUAUAAGAUUUUAAAUUUAAGCGUUUGCCUAAUCUUAUAAGUUGGUUAAUUAUGGAAAAUUUCAAAAUAUUUCUAUAGUUUUUAAAUUCCAUGUCAAAUCAAACUACAUCACAUGAAUUGGGACGAGGGAGUAGUAGUAAUGGACAAUCUCCAUUCUCUAACCUCAAUUUCCCUAUUGGCUAUUGUCUGUUGGGUUGGAUUUUGUUUUGUUCAUCAAAUAUUUUCAAAUAUCAAAGUUUCGUUUUUUAAAUUUUAACUUCUGUUAUUGCUGAAAAACCGUAGGCAUGAAUCAAAAUUUAUUGAAAGUAUUAUAAAACAAGUUCUGCAAGAGGCCAACCAGACACCUCUAGAUGUUGCUCAUUACCCAACUUGGAUUAGAUUCUCCUAUCGAGCAUAUAGAGUUGUUACUGCAAAGUGGAUGUGAGCAUGAAGUUCGCAUGGUUGGUAUAUGUGGCGUUUGGUGGAAUUGGAAAAACAACUCUGGCAAAAGCUAUCUACAAUCGAAUAUUUCAACAGUUUGGUGGUAGUUGCUUUCUUUCAGACAUUAGAUCAAAAGCUGAAGAAUUGGGUCUAGUCAAGCUACAAGAAAAAGUACUUUGUCAAAUUCUCAAAACUAAGGAAUUCAAAGUUGAUAGUGUUGCUGAAGGUGUCAAUCUAAUCAAAGCAAGACUUGGGUCAAAGAAGGUUCUAAUUGUUCUUGAUGACGUGGAUCAUAGAAGCCAAUUAGAAUCCUUAACAAGAGAAAGAAGUUGGUUUGGCUCUGGUAGUGUAAUAAUUAUUACAACCCGAGACGAGCAUUUGCUAUAUGGGCUUACAACAAGUGAGAUAUACAGGGCCAAACUUUUAAAUGACAAUGGAGCUCAACAACUUUUUUCUUGUCAUGCUUUUAACAGUCUUUCUCCACCACAUGAAUAUUUUGAGCUGGCCCAAAACAUAAUUAAAUAUUCAGGUGGGCUACCAUUAGCUCUUGUGACAUUGGGGUCACAUUUUCAAGGGAGAUCCGUAGAAGAAUGGAGAAACGAGUUCAAAAAACUAAGAACAAUUCCUCAUUUUGAUAUUCAAAAGAUUCUCCAGAUAAGCUUUGAUGGACUUGAUGAUAAUACUCAGGGUGUUUUCCUUGAUAUUGCAUGCGCCUUCCAUGGAUGUGAUGAGGAUGAAGUUACCAAAACAUUAAACGCCUGUGGUUUUUAUUGUGAAAGUGCAAUUGCAACUCUAGUCAAAAGACACUUGCUCCAAAGGGAUUGGCGUUGUUUGGUGAUGCAUGAUCUUGUGCGGGAUAUGGGAAGAGAAAUUGUUCGCAGGGAAUCACCUCAAGACUCUGGGAAACGGAGUAGAUUGUUCAACCCUCAAGAAGUCCAUGACAUUCUACAAGGAAAUAAAGUAAGUAAAUUUCAUUAUCUUUAUCUUGGUUAUACUUUCUUCUCUUUUUUUUUUUCAUUUAAUUUGAUAUACAUUUGCUUAUAAUUUAGGUUGUCACCACUCACCACAAGAACUCAAUUCAUUUGUGCUUAAUUCUUCUUUGGAUAGUAAAUUAUCUCUAGUUGUUUGCCAACCACUCUCUCCUAAUUUCUCGUACUUUUCUUUUUACUAAAUUACAGGGUUCCGAAAAUAUAGAAGUAUUGGUGUUAGAACGACAUGCAUUAAAGGGUGUGAAGCUGAGCACAAAAGCAUUUCAGAAAAUGAUAAAACUUAGGGUGCUUAAAAUCGACGACUUACAUAUUAGUGGAGAUUUUGAGCUAUUGUCCAAGGAGCUCAGAUGGUUGUCUUGGAAAGGAUGUCCUUUAAAAUGUAUACCAUCAAAUUUUCCAGCUGAGAAACUUGUAAUCCUGAAUAUGAAAGGGAGCAAUAUCGAAGAAUUUGGUUUGAAUUUGCAGGUUCGUUACUCAAUUCUGCAAUUUGAUGUGUACUGUUAUAUUGCAACUACGUGAAGGAAAAUCUUAAUUGAAAUUAUAUUUUGUUUACUUCUUAGUAUUGUAGAAGUUUGAAGGAGCUGAAUCUUUCUAAUUGCAAACACCUCAGAAGUACUCCAAACUUCAGGGGUUCACGAAGUCUUGAAACUUUGUCGCUUGAGAAUUGCUCAAGUCUAAAGAAGAUCCAUCCAUCAAUAGGAAUUUGGAAAGACUAAUUGAUCUUCAAUUGAGUGGUUGCAAAAAGAUUACGGAUCUUCCGAGCAGCAUAUGCCAGCUAAAAUCCCUUGAAUACUUGAACAUUAAUUUCUGCUCAUCUUUACAAACACUGCCAGUUGACAUUGGAGAUAUGCAAAGCCUAACUCAUCUUUGUGCAUGGGGUACGGGUAUAAAACAGUUGCCUGGAUCUGUUGAAAUGUUGAGAAAUCUUAAAAAAUUGCGAGUGGGAGAUGAAACUUUAGAGGCCGAAAGGAGUUUUUCUCGAAGAAGAGUCCGCCGCAUAGAAUCCUUAUCUAAUUUUAUUUCGAAUAUAUGUCUUGCAUACUGUGGUUUCUCUGAGGCUGAUAUUCCUAGGGAUAUUGGGAGAUUAUCCAACUUACAUCAUUUAGAUUUGAGGGGCAACAAUUUCCUCUAUCUACCCUUUGAUUUUUCCAAGUUACCAUUGUUGGUGUUCUUGUAUUUGAAUGAUUGUAAGAAUCUUCAAACACUCCCGUCAAUAUCAAAUUUAGAGAAGCUUAAAAUUCUUUAUCUUAGGAAUUGCCAAAAACUGGUCAAGAUUACAGAUUUGGACAACCUCCCUUCAAUAGAGAGGAUCGACAUGAAUAAUUGUACUUCCCUGCAGAAUCCAUUCAAUGAAGGCUUCUUUAGUACCCCUGCUCUAUCAAUUCCAUCUAGAAAACAUCCACUGCAUCAGGAGGUUAGUCCCUCUCCUUCUCUCUGAUCUCUCUCUCGUAUCACAUUAUUAAUUAAUGAUCUAAUUGUGUCUUAAUUUGUCUGAUGAAGCAGCAGGUACAAAUUUAUCUUGAAAGCAAUGAGAUUCCAGAUUGGUGCAGCAAUAAAGUAACAGCUCCAUCUAUUUGUUUCACUAUGCCCACACUACAUACUAAUGACUAUAAGUUGUUAGGAAUGGUUCUCUGGUUUGUUUGCCACUUUUGCAAUGUACCCAUCCGUCUUCAACACUUUGUUGUUACUGUUGCCCAUAUAAAGCGUUCAGAUUUUUAUUUUAGUUGGGAUACUGAUAAACCUGACAGUGGAGAAGUAUCAUGUGUAUAUUACAUCCCUUGCUCAAACGAUACACCUUUUAAAGGCCUGAACAUCAAAGGCGGGGAACAGAUAAGAGUAGAGGAUCGCACUGGCGGAGCCAUAGUAAAGAAGAUAGGAGUACAUCUGUUAUAUUUAGACCAACAUGGCAAUGUUACUUCUUUCCCGGCAAAAAAAGUAUUAGAAGAAAAGAAGACAAAAAGAAAAAGGAAAAUGAUGUUUGGUGGCAGCCGUGGACGACUAUUGGUGUUCCCCAUUUCCAGAAAAACUUCAGCAAGGCAUAAAAGAGCAAAGUUCUGAUAGUUUUCCUUUGGAUAAAGCUGGGGAAUGAGUGAUGACUGAAUCGACUUUUUUCCAUUUGUAUACUGCUAGUUUCU